UUUGACUUUUCCGUUCUUUAUUGCUGGAAUGACGCAAGUAGUUCGGCUUAUCCUCGGGCCCUUAGGGCUGCAGACCCUUAGACACCUGGCUGGACAAUUGCCUCUUGCAGGUAUUACAAACUCCCUCCUUAGCAGCCUUGGCAACUGAAGACUGGGAAACAAAUGUUCUCAUCACUGAAGUCCUAGGGACUGUCAAGUCAGCCAACUUAAAAAAUGCUGUGGUUUUAUUAAUAGAAAUGGCACUAAAGAAACUGCAUCAUCAUUUGACUUGCUGCUACACCGUAAGGACCACUGGGCCUUUCUACCUGGUCUAUAGUUGAACUGUCCCCUAUGUGUUAUUUCGCUCUAUUAGAAUGUGAACUCCUUGAGAGCGCUUACUUAUCUCUCGCUAUCACUAGUACUUAGCACAUGGCUUGGCAUGCUUAAUGUUUUUUUUAGUCUUUCUUUUAAUAUCAUUUGAGUUCAGAUUUAUUGGAAAAGUUGGCAUAUGUGACUUAUAUACCAAAAUAAAAAAAAUAGAGGUGAUGACAGUUGCUGUAA